rnacentral:rRNA from 1 species
GCUCGGAGGACAUUACACUCAGUAGUUUACUGCUGCAAAAGGGGCUGUUAGUCUGUAUAGCGCAAGCUGAUGAGCAGCUGGCCUCUUUUAUCCACCCUUGUCUUUUGCGUACCCACGUUUCCUCGGCAGGCUUGCCUGCCGGCUGGACCAACCUAUAACCUUUUUAAUUUUCAAUCAGCGUCUGAAAAACUUAAUAAUUACAACUUUCAACAACGGAUCUCUUGGUUCUGGCAUCGAUGAAGAACGCAGCGAAAUGCGAUAAGUAGUGUGAAUUGCAGAAUUCAGUGAAUCAUCGAAUCUUUGAACGCACAUUGCGCCCCUUGGUAUUCCAUGGGGCAUGCCUGUUCGAGCGUCAUUUGUACUCUCAAGCUCUGCUUGGUGUUGGGUGUUUGUCCUCUCCCUAGUGUUUGGACUCGCCUUAAAAUCAUUGGCAGCCAGUGUUUUGGUAUUGAAGCGCAGCACAAGUCGCGAUUCUUAGCAAAUACUUGCGUCCACAAGCCUUUUUUCAACUUUUGACCUCGGAUCAGGUAGGGAUACCCGCUGAACUUAAGCAUAUCAAUAAGCGGAGGAA